AGAACGAACGCUGGCGGCAUGCCUAAUACAUGCAAGUCGAACGAACACUUCGGUGUUAGUGGCGCACGGGUGCGUAACGCGUGGGAAUCUGCCCUUGGGUUCGGAAUAACAGUUGGAAACGACUGCUAAUACCGGAUGAUAUCGAAAGAUCAAAGAUUUAUCGCCCAGGGAUGAGCCCGCGUAGGAUUAGCUAGUUGGUGAGGUAAAGGCUCACCAAGGCGACGAUCCUUAGCUGGUCUGAGAGGAUGAUCAGCCACACUGGGACUGAGACACGGCCCAGACUCCUACGGGAGCAGCAGGUAGGGAAUAUUGGACAAGUGGGCGACAAGCCUAG
rnacentral:rRNA from 1 species